UGUCCGUUCUUUCCUACAUGGAAAAACCCCAUACACCACAGAGCACUACUGAUAGGACUUCUAAGAAGAUUAAACCUUUGGAAAUAAGUGAAGUAAGGAUCAUGCCAACCACUACUGCAGCUACCUGUUCAAAUCCUCUGCCAGAAUUUGAACCACCCACACCAACCAAAAAGGUGUAAAAGGAACUCAGACCUCCCAUUUUGUCACUUUUGCUUAUAAUAGGGACAACAUAAUGGCUAUGCUCUGGUUUUUUGCAUGAGGCACAUUACCUAUGGAGAAGCAAACUGCAUCGUCCUCAAAAUAUGUCAUAAACAAUGACAUGCUAAUCUUAUAUAGCAAAACUGCAACAUGUACUAUAUGUUAUAUUUUGCGUGUAUUACAUUAGUUAGUAUGUGCAGAUCGUUCAAAUCUAUGCCAUACUAAUGUCUAUCGUACAUAUUAAUAUAUAAUAUAUAAUAUUA